UGGCGAACGGGUGAGUAACACGUGGGCAAUCUGCCCUUCACUCUGGGACAAGCCCUGGAAACGGGGUCUAAUACCGGAUAACACUCCUGCCUGCAUGGGCGGGGGUUAAAAGCUCCGGCGGUGAAGGAUGAGCCCGCGGCCUAUCAGCUUGUUGGUGGGGUAAUGGCCUACCAAGGCGACGACGGGUAGCCGGCCUGAGAGGGCGACCGGCCACACUGGGACUGAGACACGGCCCAGACUCCUACGGGAGGCAGCAGUGGGGAAUAUUGCACAAUGGGCGAAAGCCUGAUGCAGCGACGCCGCGUGAGGGAUGACGGCCUUCGGGUUGUAAACCUCUUUCAGCAGGGAAGAAGCGAAAGUGACGGUACCUGCAGAAGAAGCGCCGGCUAACUACGUGCCAGCAGCCGCGGUAAUACGUAGGGCGCAAGCGUUGUCCGGAAUUAUUGGGCGUAAAGAGCUCGUAGGCGGCUUGUCGCGUCGGAUGUGAAAGCCCGGGGCUUAACCCCGGGUCUGCAUUCGAUACGGGCAGGCUAGAGUGUGGUAGGGGAGAUCGGAAUUCCUGGUGUAGCGGUGAAAUGCGCAGAUAUCAGGAGGAACACCGGUGGCGAAGGCGGAUCUCUGGGCCAUUACUGACGCUGAGGAGCGAAAGCGUG
rnacentral:rRNA from 1 species